rnacentral:rRNA from 1 species
GACGAACGCUGGCGGCGUGCUUAACACAUGCAAGUCGAACGGAAAGGCCCUGCUUUUGUGGGGUGCUCGAGUGGCGAACGGGUGUGUAACACGUGAGUAACCUGCCCUUGACUUUGGGAUAACUUCAGGAAACUGGGGCUAAUACCGGAUAGGAGCUCCUGCUGCAUGGUGGGGGUUGGAAAGUUUCGGCGGUUGGGGAUGGACUCGCGGCUUAUCAGCUUGUUGGUGGGGUAGUGGCUUACCAAGGCUUUGACGGGUAGCCGGCCUGAGAGGGUGACCGGCCACAUUGGGACUUAGAUACGACCCAGACACCUACGGGAGGCAGCAGUGGGGAAUAGUGCACAAUGGGCGGAAGCCUAAUGCAGCAACGCCGCGUGCGGGAUGACGGCCUUCGGGUUGUAAACCGCUUUCGCCUGUGACGAAGCGUGAGUGACGGUAAUGGGUAAAGAAGCACCGGCUAACUACGUG